UACCUUCGUUUCCUCGGCGGGUUCGCCCGCCGAUUGGACAAUUUAAACCAUUUGCAGUUGCAAUCAGCGUCUGAAAAAACAUAAUAGUUACAACUUUCAACAACGGAUCUCUUGGUUCUGGCAUCGAUGAAGAACGCAGCGAAAUGCGAUAAGUAGUGUGAAUUGCAGAAUUCAGUGAAUCAUCGAAUCUUUGAACGCACAUUGCGCCCCUUGGUAUUCCAUGGGGCAUGCCUGUUCGAGCGUCAUUUGUACCUUCAAGCUCUGCUUGGUGUUGGGUGUUUGUCUCGCCUCUGCGUGUAGACUCGCCUCAAAACAAUUGGCAGCCGGCGUAUUGAUUUCGGAGCGCAGUACAUCUCGCGCUUUGCACUCAGAACGACGACGUCCAAAAGUACAUUUUUACACUCUUGACCU
rnacentral:rRNA from 1 species